rnacentral:rRNA from 1 species
GUGGGGAAUAUUGGACAAUGGGCGAAAGCCUGAUCCAGCCAUGCCGCGUGUGUGAAGAAGGUCUUCGGAUUGUAAAGCACUUUAAGUUGGGAGGAAGGGCAGUAAGUUAAUACCUUGCUGUUUUGACGUUACCGACAGAAUAAGCACCGGCUAACUUCGUGCCAGCAGCCGCGGUAAUACGUAGGGUGCAAGCGUUAAUCGGAAUUACUGGGCGUAAAGCGCGCGUAGGUGGUUUUGUAAGUUGGAGGUGAAAUCCCCGGGCUCAACCUGGGAACUGCCUCCAAAACUGCAUGACUAGAGUACGGUAGAGGGUAGUGGAAUUUCCUGUGUAGCGGUGAAAUGCGUAGAUAUAGGAAGGAACACCAGUGGCGAAGGCGACUACCUGGACUGAUACUGACACUGAGGUGCGAAAGCGUGGGGAGCAAACAGGAUUAGAAACCCUAGUAGUCC